UGAGCCACCACACCUGGCCAGCAAUUAGCUUUUUUAAAAAAAGGAAAACCAGGCCAGGUGCGGUAGCUCAUACCUGUAAUCCCAACAUUUUGGGAAGCCAAGGAAGGAGGCUCGAUUGAGCCGAGGAAUUCAAGGCUGCAGUAAGCCAUGAUCAUGCCACUGCACUCCAGCCUGGACAACAGAGUGAGACCCCAUGUCUAAAUAAAUAAAUAAAUAAAUAAAAGGAAAACCAAAUGUAAUGUUAUUUUUGUCAAUAUAAUCAGAUGAAGUUGUUAUCAAGAGGAAUAAAGUAGCUGAACUUCCUGAAUAGAAAAGGUGAUUUCAAGAUAUUUUCUAUGUUUAUUAACUGUUGUUUAAAUGUCCUUUAUGGAUCUGGAGAAACAAAAAAUGAUAUAGAUUUCAUGCAUGUAAACCAUGCUGGUCAAUAAAAAUCCGCCAAACCUUCUAUGUCAAUGGUCAAUAAAUGCAGCUUUAUAAUCAUAGAUACUACUAGAAAAAUUAAAAUCAUCAGCCUCAGGUAAUCUGGUUAUUUGCUUUAUUUGCAGCUAUAUUUUCACAGCCAGCAGUAUUAGCAUCUCCAUGUGCCCAAAUCAGAAUCCUACAGAUAAAACUUGAAAUCUACUAACAAUCAAAGUCACUUUUGACAACAGAGUUGGUUCCUAUUUCUUCUCCAGAUGAAAUGGUGCAUCUUGAAUCAGGCCAGCUCUGUGUGCAGGGCUCCAUGGCGCCUAGGCUGCACAGGUCACAGUCACCUAGGAGGCCACACCAUGACAGCCCCACCACAGGACCUAACAAGAAUGCACAGCUGGCCCAACAAGACCGAUUAUAAUCAGCUUCGUGUUGUUUUAUUUUACUCUCUUCAUUUGAUAGAAACAAAAUCACCAAAUUCAAAAGAUUACUAAGCAGCAAAGGUGAAUGAAGCAGACAGCUAAUAUCAGACACCAUUUCAAAAGCAACUGCCCGGAUAAGCCUCUAAUGGAAUUUCCUAGUUUACAGCUCUGAAGAUGAAGAAGUUAGUGACACAUGCUGGUAAUACGUGGAGCCCUUCAGUACAAUUUCACAAGAGGCAGAAAGGAAUCAUGUUUGCUCCUCUUCCACCUCAACACACAACCUCUGAGAUGGAGGGAGCCUCCCUGCCGAAAGAGUCUCCGCCUGGAAUUGAAAGACCCACUCUGCUCCUCACUGAUGUGCUCUCAGUCUCCUCAUCUGUAAAAUGGAGACAAUCAAAUCACACCUGUGCUGCCCACCUCAGGAUCAUUGCUGCGAGGACCGAGCAAGAUGACGCGUGUGAAAGAGGGGCAAAACUGCCAAGUCCUCCACACAUAGAAGUCAUGCGGACUCUGCAGACGUCUCGCCAUUCUAUUCUAAUUUGGGAGCUAAUUCUUUAUUAAAAUUUUAUUUUUAUACCCUCCGUGU
rnacentral:lncRNA from 1 species